UGAACAGUCAAUACAUGCAGUGGAGAGGACUCUGACCUGGGAGGAAGGAAGACAAGCUACUUGCCCCAACCGUGCCACCAGCACAAUCAGUAAACCUUGCUCUGUUCUAAGCCUCAGUUUCUCCACUUCUUCAAGGAAGGGUCUUCCAGCUGAGCGCUUCCCUGUUUCUGUCCCUAUCUCCUUCUCUCUCCCAGAAAGUUUCUUGCCUUCUCUUGACUUACAGAAGACAUCACUUCCUUGAAGACUUGGCUCACUAUAAGCCUCCUGGCGGCUCCUUCCUGGGGCACUGGGCCAAACUCCUGACACGAUUAAGAAGAGGUUUUGGAACUGGGCCAGACUAGGAAAACAGGAAAGAUGACGAACAAAGCUUCCCUCCUUCUGAGGGUUGUUUAUUCCAGUGUUCCUUCAGUUGAGUUUUCUGGGUACACAGCAGCCCUUGGCUUUCCAUCCCAUGUGCAGCCUCUGGCCCAGCACUUAGUCCACUCUCAGUCAUAGAGCUUAUCACACAGACUUGCUCCAGUGCCCACUUGUCCAACUGCCCCAAACUCCUGGAAACCAGAAAGAACACAGAUGUAUCUCAACUGAGUGCCUACCAUAUUUCUACAGGAGGAACUGUCUUCGCAUAAAAGCCCCUCUGCAGCUCCUUAAGAUCCUACUGAUGCUUCAAUUGCCUCAUCUUUGGUCAACAAGAGCCUCUUCAAGACAUUGGCUUCUGAGCCCUUUUGACAUGACACUAUAGCUUUAUUGCUUUCUGGAAUGAAAAAGUCUUCUUGGUU
rnacentral:lncRNA from 1 species